UGAGGAAUAUUGCGCAAUGGCCGAAAGGCUGACGCAGCGACGCCGCGUGAAGGAUGAAGUUCGUUAGAAUGUAAACUUCUUUUGUAGGGGAUGAAUGUGCCGUUUUACGGCAUUGACCGUACCCUGCGAAUAAGGAUCGGCUAACUACGUGCCAGCAGCCGCGGUAAUACGUAGGAUCCGAGCGUUGUCCGGAUUUACUGGGUGUAAAGGGCGUGUAGGUGGGUCUCUAAGUCGGUGGUGAAAGCCCGCAGCUUAACUGCGGAAUUGCCAUUGAUACUGGAGGUCUUGAGUGCGGCAGAGGGAAAUGGAAUUCAUGGUGUAGCGGUGAAAUGUGUAGAUAUCAUGAAGAACACCGGUAGCGAAGGCGGUUUCCUGGUCCGUAACUGACACUGAGGCGCGAAAGCGUGGGGAGCAAACAGG
rnacentral:rRNA from 1 species